GCAGUAGGGAAUCUUCCACAAUGGCGAAGCCUGAUGGAGCAACGCCGCGUGUGUGAUGAAGGGUUUCGGCUCGUAAAACACUGUUGUAAGAGAAGAAUGACAUUGAGAGUAACUGUUCAAUGUGUGACGGUAUCUUACCAGAAAGGAACGGCUAAAUACGUGCCAG
rnacentral:rRNA from 1 species